UACGGGGGGGGCAAGCGUUGUUCGGAUUCACUGGGUUUAAAGGGUGCGUAGGUGGGUCUGUAAGUCAGUGGUGAAAUCUCCGAGCUUAACUCGGAAACUGCCAUUGAUACUAUAGGUCUUGAAUUAUCUGGAGGUGAGCGGAAUAUGUCAUGUAGCGGUGAAAUGCUUAGAUAUGACAUAGAACACCAAUUGCGAAGGCAGCUCACUACGGAUAUAUUGACACUGAGGCACGAAAGCGUGGGGAUCAAACAGG
rnacentral:rRNA from 1 species